rnacentral:rRNA from 1 species
GACGAACGCUGGCGGCGUGCCUAAUACAUGCAAGUCGAGCGGACUUUCCGGAGUGCUUGCACUCCGGACGGUUAGCGGAGGACGGGUGAGUAACACGUAGGCAACCUGCCCAUAAGACCGGGAUAACAUUCGGAAACGAAUGCUAAUACCGGAUAGACGGACCUCUCGCAUGAGGGGAUCGGGAAAGGCGGAGCAAUCUGCCGCUUAUGGAUGGGCCUGGGGCGCAUUUGCUGGGGGGGGGGGUAACGGCCUACCAAGGCGAGGAGGCGUAGCCGCCCUGGGAGGGGGGGCGGGCCCACUGGGAGUGGGACACGGCCCCGACGCCUACGGGGGGCAGCAGAAGGGGAUCUGCCGCGAAGGACGCAAGUCUCACCGAGCAACGCGGCGGGAGUGGAGGAGGUUCUCGGGUCGUAAAACUCUGUUGUUCGAAAAGAAAAAGGAUGGGGGUGGAAAGCCCCUCCCUUGGCGGUAUCUAAAAAGAAAGCCCCGGCUAACUACGUG